rnacentral:rRNA from 1 species
GACGAACGCUGGCGGCGUGGAUUAGGCAUGCAAGUCGAACGGUAGGAUACCUUCGGGUAUCUGAGAGUGGCGAACGGGUGAGUAACACGUAGGUGAUCUACCCUCAAGAUUGGGACAACCCAGGGAAACUUGGGCUAAUACCGGAUGAAAGCAGCAGCGAUGUUGUUUGAAAGGUGGCGUAAGCUGCCGUUUGGGGAUGAGCCUGCGCUCUAUUAGUUAGUUGGCGGGGUAAAGGCCCACCAAGGCGAUGAUAGAUAGGCGGCCUUAACGGGUGGUCGCCCACACUGGGAUUGAGAUACGGCCCAGACUCCUACGGGAGGCAGCAGUCGAGAAUAGUCUACAAUGGCCGAAAGGCUGAUAGUGCGACGCCGCGUGAACGAAGAAGCCCUUCGGGGUGUAAAGUUCUUUUAUAUGUGAGCAGUGCUUCUUAUAUUAACAGUAUGGGGAAGAGAUAUUAGCAUAUGAAUAAGCAACGGCUAAACCGUCCGUGCCCAGCAGGCCGAC